UACGGAGGGGGCUAGCGUUGUUCGGAAUUAUUGGGCGUAAAGGGCGCGUAGGCGCCGAAUAAGUCUGAUGUGAAAUCCCCUCGGCUCAACCGGGGAAUGCUGCAUUUGAAACUGUUCGGCUCGAGUCCGGGAGAGGGUAGUGGAAUUCCCAGUGUAGCGGUGAAAUGCGUAGAUAUUGGGAGGAACACCGGGUGGCGAAGGCGGCUACCUGGACCGGUACUGACGCUGAGGCGCGAAAGCUAGGGUCGCAAACAGG
rnacentral:rRNA from 1 species